rnacentral:tRNA from 1 species
GCCUCCGUGGCGCAAUCGGCUAGCGCGUUCGGCUGUUAACCGAAAGGUUGGUGGUUCGAGUCCCCCCGGGGGCG